rnacentral:rRNA from 1 species
GACGUAGGGGACGAGCGUUGUCCGGAUUCAUUGGGCGUAAAGGGUGCGUAGGCGGCGCGGUAAGUCGGGUGUGAAAUCUCGGAGCUUAACUCCGAAACUGCAUUCGAUACUGCCGUGCUUGAGGACUGGAGAGGAGACUGGAAUUUACGGUGUAGCGGUGAAAUGCGUAGAUAUCGUAAGGAAGACCAGUGGCGAAAGCGACUCUCUGGACGGCAACUGACGCUGAGGCACGAAAGCGUGGGGAGCAAACAGG